rnacentral:lncRNA from 1 species
UCGAGGCAGAGGUCCGGCUCCCGUAGGAGCUCGGAUGAAAUUAGAAAGGCGGUCGAUCGCCGUAGAAAUAUGGGUGGAAUCGGGUUGCUGUAGAAAUCUAUCCUUAGGGAAGUUUGGCCGUGGACGAAGCUUGGGAAAUUUGGAUUAGAAUCUAUCAUGGCUGGAAGAGAUCUGGAAGAGGUCCGGUGAACGGUCGAUCAUUGUAAAAGGUCGGUAGAUAGUGAAGCCCGAGCAUUUGAAGCAGUCCGGUGGACGACUGAAGAAGUUCAUCGUUGGAGA